rnacentral:lncRNA from 1 species
GGGAUACUGGAGCGAAAAUGCAAGUGACUGUUAUAGGACUAAGCGUGACCAACAUGAAUAGUCAUAUGGAUGUCCAUCCACUCAUCAGUGACAUACUCGAUGCUGUAGUGGUGUGAAUAGUCUACAAACCUGUGGUGCCUCAACUGCUCAUAGUGGGGUUGCUAUAGUUUGACUAUACAUAAACAUGGUUCCUAGCUAUAUGGAUCAUUGUAGUGGAUGUUAGCUGCAGUAGGUUUACAUAGGAGUAGGAUGCAUGCCUAAAUGGGAUCUAUCGAUCUUGAUAGAAAGGAGUGGUCCUAUGUUAUUCAUGAGAUUGAGUUUAAAAAUCUAUAGCCAUGGAAUGUGAAUGAUGGAAAGGAGUUUCUAUGAGGUUUCACAUAUGAACUCAAAUCGAUUGAACAUUACAUUUGACAAGCGAUGAGUUUUGAUGAGUUAUCCAUAAUCUCUGUCUUAUCGAGACUUACGACAGAA